rnacentral:lncRNA from 1 species
UUCCUCGUUCCCUCCCCACAUUUGGGGCGCUUCCCUCCCCCGCAGAGGGACCUGAACUGGCUCUGUGCUGGCGGAUGCCGACAUGGUGCCCUUGCUGCUGCUGCUGCCCCUGCUGUGCGGGGGGGCCCUGCAGGAGUUUCCAGGGUACGAGCUCCGAGUGCAGGAAUCAGUGGUGGUGCAGGCGUGCAUGGACGUCCGAGUGCCCUGCUCCUUCUCCUAUCCCUGGCCUCCGAGAUAUCCCCCGUAUUCCUCUGCCGAACCCUUCAUCUACUGGUUCCGGGAAGGAGACCGCCAAUCCGAUGAUGCUGUGGCCACAAACGACCGAACAAAACAAGUGAAGUCAGAGACCCGGGGCCGAUUCCGCCUCCUUGGGGACCCCAGCAACAACAACUGCUCCCUGAGCAUCCAAGAGGCCAGGCUGAGCGACUCAGGAAUCUACUACUUGCGAGUGGAGAGAGGACGUAAUUUGAAGUACAAUUACAGAGCGAAGAAGCUGAAUUUGCAGGUGACAGAGAAACCCGACAUCCAGUUCCUGGAGCCUCUGGAGUCCGGCCGCCGCACACCUCUGACCUGCAGCCUGUCGCUGGUCUGUGAUGGGCCACACUAUCUCCUGUUCUCCUGGGUGGGGGACACCCUUGAUGCCAUGAACCCAGACACCCUCCACUCCUCGGCGCUAACCCUCACCCCGAGGCCCCAGGACCAUGGCACCAACCUCACCUGUCGGGUGACACUCCAGGGAGCGCAGGUGACCCUGGAGAGAACCGUCCAGCUCAACGUCUCCUAUGCUCCAAGGAACCUCCGCAUCAGCCUCUCCUUCAGAAACAGCACAGCCCUCAAGAUUCUGCAGAACGCCUCAUCUGUUCUCAUCUCAGAGGGCCAGGCACUGCAGCUGCUGUGUGUUGCUGACAGCAACCCCCCUGCACAGCUGAGCUGGUUCUGGGAAUUCCCAGCCCUGGAGUCUACCCCCAUCUCCAGCACCGGGGUCUUGGAAAUACCACAAGUAGUGGCUGGAGAUGGAGGAGAAGUCACCUGCCGAGCUCAGAACCGUCUGGGUUCCCAGCAAGUUUCCUUCAGCCUCUCUGUGCAGAAAGGCCCCCCUCCCUGCAGCUCUGAGGCUGAGGAGCAGCAGGGCUCCUGGCCUCUGGUCCUCACCCUGAUCAGAGGGGCCCUCAUGGGGGCUGGCUUCCUCCUCACCUAUGGCCUCACCUGGACCUACUACACCAAGUAAGCACAGCUGUCUCCCUGCGGGGAAGUCCAGAGAAUGGCUCUGGAGUUGCCUGUGGGGCUUGGCGGUCCUGUCCUGCCUGCAGCUAAACUGUGUGACUCUCCAGGGACUUCCGUGUCGGUCCAGUGGUUGAGCCUGCGAGUUUCCACUGCAAGGGGCAAGGGUUCGAUCCCAGGUUGGGGAACUAAGAUCGCACAUGCCUUGAGGCAGAGCCCAGAAUGAAUGAAAUGGGUCUGCCUCUCUGACCUGAGAUCGUGUUGGCUCUGCAGGUGUGGCGGCCAGUAGGCAGCUGGGCUGAGGGGUGUGGCCAAGCCUGCUCUCUGUCAUGAGGAGAUUCACCUGAGGAUGCAGAGCCCAGAGGACAGAUGUGGGGACAUCACUGCGAGCUUCUCCCGGGAAAUUCUCGCCUCCAACCCUGUGUCGUUUGCAUCCACGAGCCUUCAUUUGUAGAGAAGACUGGGAGACAGUAGGAAGAGUCAAUACCAUUGAAAGGAGACCUUCUGACGUAACUUGCUUAGUAUUAGAUUACUCAUGAUUUUACAUGUAUCAAUAACUCAUUGUUGGUUCUGCUUGGUUUUUCUCUUGAAAAUAGUAUUUUACAAUAUGGCUAUUCCUCCAGUUAUGUAUGGACUCUAAAAUACGAUGACAUUGCCUUUGUUUGCAAAUUUUGUCUCUUUCACAGUAACGUUGAUGUGAAUGGCGUGAUGAAUUAGGAGGCCUAGCACUUUUCUCCUGGUGGGUGUGGAACUGCUUCAUCAUACAUUUGGCGUAUGUUUAGUUUGAGAAGGUAGCCUCAGAGAGUUCUUUUGAGUAGUUAGAUGAGUUUAUAGCCCAUGGUCAUAUAUGGGGUCUCCUCGUUCACCUUCAUGUAGAGGCUGUUUAGUUUCCUUCUCACUUUCGACCAUAAGGGUGGUGUCACUUGCAUAUCUGAGGUUAUUGAUAUUUGUUCUGGCAAUCGAGAUUCCAGCUAGUGCUUCGUCCAGCCAAGCAUUUCUCAUGAUGUACUGUGCAUAUAAGUUAAAAAAGCAAGGUGACAAUAUGCAGCUGUGACAUACCUCUUCCCCAAUUUUGAACCAGUCUCUUGUUCCAUGUCUGGUUCUAACUGUUGCUUCUUGACCUGCAAACAGGUUGUAGGAGGCAGGUAAGGUAGUCUGGUCUUCUCAUCUCUUGAGGACUUUCCCACAGUUUGUUGAGAUCCACACAGUCAAUAAAGAAUCUGCCUGCAAUGCUGGAGACCUGGUU